rnacentral:tRNA from 1 species
GUUAGGAUGGCAGAGCCCGGCAAGUGCGAAAGGCCUAAGCCCUUUUGACAGAGGUCCAAAUCCUCUUCCUAACU